UACGUAGGGCGCAAGCGUUAAUCGGAAUUACUGGGCGUAAAGCGUGCGCAGGCGGUUUUGUAAGUCUGACGUGAAAGCCCCGGGCUCAACCUGGGAAUUGCGUUGGAGACUGCAAGGCUUGAAUCUGGCAGAGGGGGGUAGAAUUCCACGUGUAGCAGUGAAAUGCGUAGAGAUGUGGAGGAAUACCGAUGGCGAAGGCAGCCCCCUGGGAUAACACUGACGCUCAUGCACGAAAGCGUGGGGAGCAAACAGG
rnacentral:rRNA from 1 species